rnacentral:tRNA from 2 species
AGAAACUUAGGCUAACAUUAAACCAAGGGCCUUCAAAGCCCUAAAUAGAGAACACCCUCUAGUUUCUG